UCCAGCAGCUAAAUUACCCUGCAACUCACAACUGACAACCCACUGGAGCUCAGCAGGUGUGAGCCUGGUCAGUACCUGGAUGGGAGACCUCCUGGGAAAGCUGAGGCUGCUGCUGGAA
rnacentral:rRNA from 1 species